rnacentral:rRNA from 1 species
AGAGUUUGAUCAUGGCUCAGGACGAACGCUGGCGGCGUGCUUAACACAUGCAAGUCGAACGGAAAGGCCCCUUCGGGGGUACUCGAGUGGCGAACGGGUGAGUAACACGCGGGUGAUCUGCCCUGCACUUUGGGAUAAGCCUGGGAAACUGGGUCUAAUACCGAAUAGGACCGCAUGCUUCAUGGUGUGUGGUGGAAAGCUUUUGCGGUGUGGGAUGGGCCCGCGGCCUAUCAGCUUGUUGGUGGGGUAAUGGCCUACCAAGGCGACGACGGGUAGCCGGCCUGAGAGGGUGUCCGGCCACACUGGGACUGAGAUACGGCCCAGACUCCUACGGGAGGCAGCAGUGGGGAAUAUUGCACAAUGGGCGCAAGCCUGAUGCAGCGACGCCGCGUGGGGGAUGACGGCCUUCGGGUUGUAAACCUCUUUCAGUAUCGGCGAAGCUCCAGGAUUUUUCUUGGGGUGACGGUAGGUACAGAAGAAGCACCGGCCAACUACGUGCCAGCAGCCGCGGUAAUACGUAGGGUGCGAGCGUUGUCCGGAAUUACUGGGCGUAAAGAGCUCGUAGGUGGUUUGUCACGUUGUCUGUGAAAACUCACAGCUUAGCUGUGGGCGUGCGGGCGAUACGGGCAGACUGGAGUACUGUAGGGGAGACUGGAAUUCCUGGUGUAGCGGUGGAAUGCGCAGAUAUCAGGAGGAACACCGGUGGCGAAGGCGGGUCUCCGGGCAGUAACUGACGCUGAGGAGCGAAAGCGUGGGGAGCGAACAGGAUUAGAUACCCUGGUAGUCCAA